rnacentral:rRNA from 1 species
UCAAGUAAUUAAGUGCAUGUGGUGGAUGCCUUGGCAGUCAGAGGCGAUGAAAGACGUGAUAGCCUGCGAAAAGCUCCGGGGAGGCGGCAAAUAUCCUUUGAUCCGGAGAUGUCUGAAUGGGGGAACCCACCUACUUUAAGGUAGGUAUUGCAACAUGAAUACAUAGUGUUGCAAGGCGAACGAGGGGAAGUGAAACAUCUCAGUACCCUUAGGAAAAGAAAUCAAUUGAGAUUCCCUCAGUAGCGGCGAGCGAACGGGGAUCAGCCCAUUAAGUUAUGUGUGUUUUAGUGGAACGCUCUGGGAAGUGCGAACGUAGAGGGUGAUAUUCCCGUACACGAAAGGGCACACAUAAUGAUGACGAGUAGGGCGAGGCACGUGAAACCUUGUCUGAAUAUGGGGGGACCAUCCUCCAAGGCUAAAUACUCCUGACUGACCGAUAGUGAACCAGUACCGUGAGGGAAAGGCGAAAAGAACCCCUGUGAGGGGAGUGAAAUAGAUCCUGAAACCGCAUGCAUACAAGCAGUGGGAGCACCUUCGUGGUGUGACUGCGUACCUUUUGUAUAAUGGGUCAGCGACUUAUAUUCAGUAGCGAGGUUAACCGUAUAGGGGAGCCGUAGAGAAAUCGAGUCUUAAUAGGGCGUUUAGUUGCUGGGUAUAGACCCGAAACCAGGCGAUCUAUCCAUGAGCAGGUUGAAGGUUGGGUAACACUAACUGGAGGACCGAACCCACUGUCGUUGAAAAGCCAGGGGAUGACUUGUGGAUAGGGGUGAAAGGCUAAUCAAGCCUGGUGAUAGCUGGUUCUCCCCGAAAGCUAUUUAGGUAGCGCCUCGGACGAAUACCAUAGGGGGUAGAGCACUGUUUCGGCUAGGGGGUCAUCCCGACUUACCAAACCGAUGCAAACUCCGAAUACCUAUGAGUACUAUCCGGGAGACAGACUGCGGGUGCUAACGUCCGUAGUCAAGAGGAAAACAAUCCAGACCGCCAGCUAAGGCCCCAAAAUCAUAGUUAAGUGGGAAACGAUGUGGGAAGGCAUAGACAGCUAGGAGGUUGGCUUAGAAGCAGCCACCCUUUAAAGAAAGCGUAAUAGCUCACUAGUCGAGUCGGCCUGCGCGGAAGAUGUAACGGGCUAAAACUAUGUGCCGAAGCUGCGGAUGUAUACUUUGUAUACGUGGUAGGGGAGCGUUCUGUAAGCCGAUGAAGGUGUGUUGAGAAGCAUGCUGGAGGUAUCAGAAGUGCGAAUGCUGACGUGAGUAACGACAAAACGGGUGAAAAACCCGUUCGCCGAAAGACCAAGGGUUCCAGUCCAACGUUAAUCGGGGCUGGGUGAGUCGACCCUAAGGCGAGGCCGAAAGGCGUAGUCGAUGGGAAAAUGGUUAAUAUUCCAUUACUUCUGUGUAAUGCGAUGAGAGGACGGAGAAGGCUAAAUCAGCCUGGCGUUGGUUGUCCAGGUGAAAGGAUGUAGGCAUGUAUCUUAGGCAAAUCCGGGGUACUCUAUGCUGAGAUCUGAUAGCAAGCUGUACUUGUACAGCGAAGUGGUUGAUGCCAUGCUUCCAGGAAAAGUCUCUAAGCUUCAGUUACACAGGAAUCGUACCCGAAACCGACACAGGUGGUCAGGUCGAGUAGACCAAGGCGCUUGAGAGAACUCUGCUGAAGGAACUAGGCAAAAUGGUACCGUAACUUCGGGAGAAGGUACGCUGUUGUUGGUGAUGGAACUCGCUUCCUGAGCUGACGACAGCCGCAGAAACCAGGCCGCUGCAACUGUUUAUUAAAAACAUAGCACUCUGCAAACACGAAAGUGGACGUAUAGGGUGUGAUGCCUGCCCGGUGCUGGAAGGUUAAUUGAUGGGGUUAGCGUAAGCGAAGCUCUUGAUCGAAGCCCCAGUAAACGGCGGCCGUAACUAUAACGGUCCUAAGGUAGCGAAAUUCCUUGUCGGGUAAGUUCCGACCUGCACGAAUGGCAUAAUGAUGGCGGCGCUGUCUCCAGCAGAGGCUCAGUGAAAUCGAAAUCGCUGUGAAGAUGCAGUGUACCCGCGGCUAGACGGAAAGACCCCGUGAACCUUUACUGCAGCUUGACACUGAACUUUGACCUUACUUGUAGGAUAGGUGGGAGGCUUUGAAGCUGGAACGCUAGUUCCAGUGGAGCCGUCCUUGAAAUACCACCCUGGUAAUGUUGAGGUUCUAACUCUGUCCCGUGAUCCGGGACGAGGACCGUGUCUGGUGGGUAGUUUGACUGGGGCGGUCUCCUCCUAAAGAGUAACGGAGGAGUACGAAGGUGCGCUCAGCGUGGUCGGAAAUCACGCGUAGAGUAUAAAGGCAAAAGCGCGCUUAACUGCGAGACCCACAAGUCGAGCAGGUACGAAAGUAGGUCUUAGUGAUCCGGUGGUUCUGUAUGGAAGGGCCAUCGCUCAACGGAUAAAAGGUACUCUGGGGAUAACAGGCUGAUACCGCCCAAGAGUUCAUAUCGACGGCGGUGUUUGGCACCUCGAUGUCGGCUCAUCUCAUCCUGGGGCUGAAGCAGGUCCCAAGGGUAUGGCUGUUCGCCAUUUAAAGAGGUACGCGAGCUGGGUUUAGAACGUCGUGAGACAGUUCGGUCCCUAUCUACCGUGGGCGCUGGAAAUUUGAGAGGAUCUGCUCCUAGUACGAGAGGACCAGAGUGGACGAACCUCUGGUGUACCGGUUGUGACGCCAGUCGCAUCGCCGGGUAGCUAUGUUCGGAAGGGAUAACCGCUGAAAGCAUCUAAGCGGGAAGCCUACCUCAAGAUAAGAUUUCCCUAGGACUUUAUGUCCUCUAAAGAGCCGUUCGAGACUAGGACGUUGAUAGGUUGGAUGUGGAAGCAUAGUGAUAUGUGAAGCUGACCAAUACUAAUUGCUCGUGAGGCUUGACUA